AUCUAUAUCUAUAUCUAUAUCUAUAUCUAUAUCUAUAUCUAUAUCUAUAUCUAUAUCUAUAUAUGGAGAUAGAUAUAGAUAUAAAACAAGCAAAGAA
rnacentral:miRNA from 10 species